AAAUACAGCAUUUUCAUGGGAAAAUAUCCAAAAAUGCUCAUCAACAGCUACAAAUAUUUUCGUCUAAAACUGCCAAAACUACAAGAUUAUGUAUACCAGAAUAGAUACUAUAUCAACAAAAACAAAACUGGAGAAAAGGAAAAAUUUGUAUCCCAGUUUAGUUUGGGCAACUGGAUGCGAAUGAAAGAAAUUGAAAAACAUCAGCAUACGCUUGAAGAAUGCCCAAUCUGCACCACAAAAUACAAUGUAUCUUCGUCAUUACAUACAUGUAGCAAAGUUGAAAAUAAGGCAGAAAAUCUUAAGUCUACUUGUACAAAUCUGGUGGACACAAUUCAGGAAGAGUUUUCUGCCUCUCCAUCAAUUAACAAGGUGUGGUAAAAUAAAAAUUCUUAAAAUUAAGUAUAAUUUGUGUAUAAACUGGAUCAAUAUCACUGACAAAGUGAACCAGUAUCAUACUAAGCUACAGGCCCAGCAGCUCAGGCUUGUAAAAUUGCAUUCAGGCCUGUAAAAAUCCUGUCAGCAGGCCAACAGAAUCGAACAAAAAGAUCCUAAAUUUGAGAUCAG
rnacentral:lncRNA from 1 species